GUGCUUCAGGGUCACACCUGGAGAGUUUCCAGUCCUCUACCAGUCUCGGCAGUGGGAGGAAGAGUGAAGCAGAGGCGUAUCCAUUCCAUUCCUAGCUUGGGCAGUGGCUGGUGAGUGGAAGACAAUCUGCUACAAGC